rnacentral:rRNA from 1 species
UACGAGUGCUCCAAGCGUUAUCCGGAAUCAUUGGGCGUAAAGGGUGUGUAGGCGGUUCUGUUAGUCUUCUGUUAAAUUCUUCGGCUCAACCGGGGGCAUGCAGGGGAAACGGCAGACCUAGAGGAUGCGAGAGGUGAAUGGAACUCAUGGAGUAGGGGUGAAAUCCGUUGAUAUCAUGGGGAACACCGAAAGCGAAGGCAAUUCACUGGCGCACUCCUGACGCUGAGACACGAAAGCGUAGGUAGCGAAUGGG